rnacentral:lncRNA from 1 species
AACCAGCAAUAAGGCACAGCUUCCCUGAGCGUGUUCUGAGAACUCAAUAGCAGGCAUUCAAAGCACUUAGAACCCGUUGCACAGGAAUUUCCAUUAAUGCUGAUAAGCUUCUUACUAUUGUGUAAUAAAAUAACUACUUACAUCUUUCAGUUCAGUGGAAGGAUAUGUAAUUCAGCCUUGCAGCCUACCUCAGAGAGGUGUCUCAAAGCAGGAUUUCAUGCAAAUGUGCUCUGGAGAACAGGUCUUUGCUCUGAGCAUAUUCCAUCACAGGUCGUAAGCAGAAGGGUUGGCAGAUCUCCCCCCAAGCCUCAUCAAAGUUCUGCUACUAACAAUUCCAAGUUUCAUUUAGUAUACGGGGUAAUUAAUAGGUGGGAGGAGGGGUCAAGAGAGUCACUGUCUUAUGCUGUUGCUGAAAACCUCUAGGAGAGCCAAACCAAAGAGUAGCUAAAUAUGCCACUUAGGCGGGGGAGACAGCUCACUCAGUAAGGCAAGUACAAGCUCCUGAGUUUGAUAUCCAGAACCCACAUUAGAAAACCAGGUCGGGGCAUGGGGGCAAGGCGCUGGAGAGAAGGCUCCGUGUUUAAGAAUGUUUGCUGCUCUUCCAGAGGACCUGAGCUUGAUUUCCAGCACUCACGCUGGGUGGCUCACAACUGCUCCAACCCCAUCUCAGUAGGAAUCCAAUGCUUCUGGUCUCUUCAAGCACCUGCACUCAUUGUGCACAUACCCCCAACCUAUGCAAGCACGCGCGCGCACACACACACACACACACACACUAUUAAAAAUAAGUUUGGGGGGGAUCAUUCUCUCUACAUAGCCCUGGCUGUCCUGGAAUUCACUAUGUAGACCAGGCUGGACUAAAGAAUGCAUUUUUUUAAAAAAAGGUAAGUGUGGUAGCACAUGCUUACAAUCCCAAUACUGUGGAGGCAAAGACAGGCAUAUCCCUGGGACUCACUGACUAGCCUGCCGAGCCAAGUCAGGGAUCUUCAGAUUCAGUGAGAGAUCCCAUCUCAAAUAGAAAUGAAUGAAUGGUAGGCAGUAUGUGAGGAAUGAAGUUGGUCUCUAACCUCCACAUACAUGUGUAUCACACACACAUGAAUACACAUAUACAUGCCUGUGGUGGUUUGACUAGAAAUGGCCCCUAUAGACUUGUGUGUUUGAAUGCUUGACCAUAAGGAGUGACACUAUUAGGAGGUGUGACCUUGUUGGAGUAGGUGUGGCCUUGUUGGAAGAAAUGUGUCACUGUGGGGGAUGGGCUUUGAGCUCUCCUAUGCUCAAGCUAUGUCCAAUGUGGACCCUUUUGCUGCUUCUAGAUCCAGAUGUAGAACUCUCAGCUCCUUCUCCAGCACCAUGCCUGCCUGGAUGCUACCAUGCUUCCCGCCAUGAUGAUAAUGAACUAAACCUCUGAAACUGUAAGCCAGCCUCAAUUCAAUGUUGUCCUUUAUGAGUUGCCUUGGUCAUGGUAUCUCUUCACAGCAAUGAAACCCUAACUAAGACCUUGACCAAAUAAAUAAAUAAUCUCCUUAAUGAAUAUCUAAGCUUUGUUUCUAGACUCCUAGAGAAGGAGCCAGUGCUUGCUCUGUCAUUCACUAGCAUUCAGUACAAGAUUUUUAUUUCUUAGAGCAAAAUCUCUUAAUGCGGGGACAGCCUGGUGAGUAGACUUAGACAUUUGUGGCAUGGUAAGACAAGACUUUUAACUUUCAACCAAUAAAAAAUGAAGUACCACUCUUUCUUCCACUCAAGCCCAAGCAAGCUUUCACCUUUACCCACAGAGAUAAGAGCCUGCAUCAAAGGUCCAUCGGUCGAUGGAUGAAAAGGUCUGGAAUAAGGAAAAUCCACGGCACCCGACUGAGCUGCACAGUGUCUGCUCUGCUCCGGGACAGACUCCCUCCUCUGCUGGGGUGGAUCCUGCAUUGGCAGGUGAUUCUAUUGGUCUCUUGACAACUCACCCGACAGAGAGUGGCCAGGCAGUGCCCUGCUGGAGAGACAAAGGGCAGGGAGAAAGAGAUUCCUAUUUCCUUGGCUUUCUUGGCUGAAUGCCAUAUCAACACAAUUCCAAGAGCAGCCAACUUCGGUAACACUGUGAACCCUGGCCCUAGUGGUGUGAUUCAAGAGCCCUACGGCCCAGAUUACUACUUGGUCUCCUCUAAAAGUGCCUGGAAGCUUACACUUUCUUCGAUUCUUUCUUUCUACCAGCUUCCUAAAGCCAACAAACCUAGAUGAGAGUCACUGAGUUAUGUCUAUUGUUUCUUGGAUUGGCCGAGAUUAAAAGGGAACGACUUUUUGUGUGUGUGUGAAGGGCUAUUAAUAUCCACCAGCUCUCCAACACAUGGUGACCAUCUAGUGUCUUGCAGCUUAGUGUGGAAAUCCUUGACUUGAGGUGGUAAAUUAUAGCCCCUUCAUCACCAGCACUACCAAGAAAAAGCAGCUGCUUGAUACCAUGGUGCCCAAGUUCUGAAAUCAUGAACUGAAACUGGUAAAAGUCAGCAAAUUACAGCUAGUGGGUAGCUACUGGGAAACACUAGCACUAGGAUGCACACAGGCAUCCUAGCCCCUUCCCACACACUCACAUGCCUGGCCAAGAAGAGAAAUUCUACCAAGCCAUAGAAUUUUCCAUGAAGUUUUAUUGUACUUUUCCUUCAUCAUUGUUUUAAUAUGCCUGUGAUAAACUAGCAUUUGCUAAUGCGUGACCUGCUAUUCCCUCAUGACUAUUUGUUUAAAAAAGUAUUGCUUAAGGACAAUUGGGUCAGUUUACUAACACUUUUACUCAUGAAGAUGUUAUCAUCGGACACAAUCAUUUGUCAGAAACUUUCAUUCACAGAAAUAAUAAAUUACAAUUUC